rnacentral:rRNA from 2 species
UUGGUGGCGACCGGCGCACGGGUGAGUAACGCGUAUGCAACCCAUCUAUCAGAGGGGAAUAACCCGGCGAAAGUCGGACUAAUACCGCAUAAAACAGGGACACCGCAUGGUGAUAUUUGUUAAAGAAAUUCGCUGAUAGAUGGGCAUGCGUUCCAUUAGGUAGUUGGUGAGGUAACGGCUCACCAAGCCGACGAUGGAUAGGGGAACUGAGAGGUUGGUCCCCCACACUGGUACUGAGACACGGACCAGACUCCUACGGGAGGCAGCAGUGAGGAAUAUUGGUCAAUGGGCGAGAGCCUGAACCAGCCAAGUCGCGUGAAGGAAGAAGGAUCUAUGGUUCGUAAACUUCUUUUGCAGGGGAAUAAAGUGCAGGACGUGUCCUGUUUUGUAUGUACCCUGAGAAUAAGGAUCGGCUAACUCCGUGCCAGCAGCCGCGGUAAUACGGAGGAUCCGAGCGUUAUCCGGAUUUAUUGGGUUUAAAGGGUGCGUAGGUGGUUUGAUAAGUCAGCGGUGAAAGUUUGCAGCUUAACUGUAAAAAUGCCGUUGAAACUGUCGGACUUGAGUGUAAAUGAGGUAGGCGGAAUGCGUGGUGUAGCGGUGAAAUGCUUAGAUAUCACGAAGAACUCCGAUUG